UGGGGAAUAUUGGACAAUGGGCGCAAGCCUGAUCCAGCCAUGCCGCGUGAGUGAUGAAGGCCCUAGGGUUGUAAAGCUCUUUCGGCGGGGACGAUAAUGACGGUACCCGCAGAAGAAGCCCCGGCUAACUUCGUGCCAGCAGCCGCGGUAAUACGAAGGGGGCUAGCGUUGUUCGGAAUUACUGGGCGUAAAGCGCACGUAGGCGGAUCGUUUAGUCGGGGGUGAAAUCCCGAGGCUCAACCUCGGAACUGCCUUCGAUACUGGCGAUCUUGAGUCCGAGAGAGGUGAGUGGAACUCCGAGUGUAGAGGUGAAAUUCGUAGAUAUUCGGAAGAACACCAGUGGCGAAGGCGGCUCACUGGCUCGGUACUGACGCUGAGGUGCGAAAGCGUGGGGAGCAAACAGGAUUAGAUACCCCCGUAGUCC
rnacentral:rRNA from 1 species